AUUGAACGCUGGCGGCAGGCUUAACACAUGCAAGUCGAGCGGAGAGAGGUAGCUUGCUACUGAUCUUAGCGGCGGACGGGUGAGUAAUGCUUAGGAAUCUGCCUAUUAGUGGGGGACAACAUUUUGAAAGGAAUGCUAAUACCGCAUACGUCCUACGGGAGAAAGCAGGGGAUCUUCGGACCUUGCGCUAAUAGAUGAGCCUAAGUCGGAUUAGCUAGUUGGUGGGGUAAAGGCCUACCAAGGCGACGAUCUGUAGCGGGUCUGGGAGGAUGAUCCGCCAAACUGGGACUGAGACACGGCCCAGACUCCUACGGGAGGCAGCAGUGGGGAAUAUUGGACAAUGGGCGGAAGCCUGAUCCAGCCAUGCCGCGUGUGUGAAGAAGGCCUUAUGGUUGUAAAGCACUUUAAGCGAGGAGGAGGCUACUUUAGUUAAUACCUAGAGAUAGUGGACGUUACUCGCAGAAUAAGCACCGGCUAACUCUGUGCCAGCAGCCGCCGCCGUAA
rnacentral:rRNA from 1 species